rnacentral:rRNA from 1 species
UACGAAGGGGGCUAGCGUUGCUCGGAAUCACUGGGCGUAAAGCGCACGUAGGCGGCUUUUUAAGUCAGAGGUGAAAUCCUGGAGCUCAACUCCAGAACUGCCUUUGAUACUGGAGAGCUUGAGUCCGGGAGAGGUGAGUGGAACUGCGAGUGUAGAGGUGAAAUUCGUAGAUAUUCGGAAGAACACCAGUGGCGAAGGCGACUCACUGGCCCAUUACUGACGCUGAGGCGCGAAAGCGUGGGGAGCAAACAGG